UACGUAGGGUGCGAGCGUUAGUCGGAAUUACUGGGCGUAAAGCGUGCGCAGGCGGCGCGUUAAGACAGGUGUGAAAGCCCCGAGCUUAACUUGGGAAUUGCGCUUGUGACUGGCGUGCUGGAGUGUGGCAGAGGGAGGUGGAAUUCCACGUGUAGCAGUGAAAUGCGUAGAGAUGUGGAGGAACACCGAUGGCGAAGGCAGCCUCCUGGGCCAGCACUGACGCUCAUGCACGAAAGCGUGGGGAGCAAACAGG
rnacentral:rRNA from 1 species